GAGGGUAUAACUCAGUGGUAGAGCGCAAGCUUAGCAUGCACAAGGUCCUGGGUUCAAUCCCUAGUACUUCCA
rnacentral:tRNA from 1 species